UGGGGAAUAUUGGACAAUGGGCGCAAGCCUGAUCCAGCCAUGCCGCGUGAGUGAUGAAGGCCCUAGGGUUGUAAAGCUCUUUCACCGGUGAAGAUAAUGACGGUAACCGGAGAAGAAGCCCCGGCUAACUUCGUGCCAGCAGCCGCGGUAAUACGAAGGGGGCUAGCGUUGUUCGGAUUUACUGGGCGUAAAGCGCACGUAGGCGGACUAUUAAGUCAGGGGUGAAAUCCCAGGGCUCAACCCCGGAACUGCCUUUGAUACUGGUAGUCUUGAGUUCGAGAGAGGUGAGUGGAAUUCCGAGUGUAGAGGUGAAAUUCGUAGAUAUUCGGAGGAACACCAGUGGCGAAGGCGGCUCACUGGCUCGAUACUGACGCUGAGGUGCGAAAGCGUGGGGAGCAAACAGG
rnacentral:rRNA from 1 species